ACAACAUAUCAAUUUAACUAGCUCCACUUGCGGCUGCGUUUUCAUCUUUUGUUGCCAGUUAUUCGAGGACUAAUGUAAGUUAGUCAUGCAUCAUCAAUGGAGGAAUAUAGUAAACUAUUUGUUUUUAUCGAUUUCCUUUAAGUCAAUGCGCAUCUCGUUGCCUUGGUGUUGCUGUGUGAAGUAUAGCUUGUGUGAAGUAUCAUCAUGGCCUCAUCAAUAGAGCCAAUGAAUAUUUCCAUUAGUAGAACUUGUCAUUUCAAUAUCCAAUAGGUCAUCAAUGAGGUGGUAUUCUAAGUGCCUUGGUAACCUCAGACUGCCCUAUGGAGCAAGUGACUUGUAUUCUAAUAUUCAAGUAAAGGUCUGAGUCUAGUGAUAUUCCAGAACUGAAGUAACCUAGUCUCAUAGUAGUGCUUCCAUUAUUGUAGAGUAAUGUUCUACAGAAAAAGUGUUCCAAUGUAUCCACUAUUACAGAGCAAUAAUAUUCCAUGCAGUACGUACUAUUAUUCGUUGUCGGAAUACUAUUACAGAGCAAGAAUACUCCAUGCAGAUUGUGCAAGAUCUAUUGGAAUAUAAUUCCCAUUAGAAUAUUGGGAAGGCCCUCUUCUAAGGGAUAGGUCCAAGAAGACUGUUGUGUGGGCAGGAGGGUGAGGAGUCACCAAAUGAGUCAGUACGUACCAUCUUCUCCUAGUGAGCCAAGACUCGCAAGCCUUAGGCAAAGAAGAUGCUAAUGUUGUUGGUCCUCCGUCAACAAGACUAUAAAUAUUAGAAUUACAUAGCCGAGAUUUGUUUGUUGUAACUUUUUGUUUUUUUUUCUUUGUUAGUUUUCUUAUUUCAACUGUUAUUGAGUUGUUACUAAACUAUUACUAAGCUCUUUAUAUAGCUUUUGUCUCUGUAGUUUAAGUUUAGUUUUGGUUUAAUAAAAAGGAGUUUUCUCUUCUUCCAUUUCCUUGCUUUCAUCUUAAUAUGGUAUCAAAGCUUUGAUACAAUUUACUGCAAUUUCUCAUAUCUGAUUCUUCUAAUCUUUGUUUUUCUUCAAGAUUGUUGAGUAUUGUUGUUUUUUUUUUUUUCAAUUUUUAUGGAGACUCUAUCAUCUAAAAACACAAGUCAUUCUAGGUCAUCUUCAAACAUAUCUUCCAUUGAUGAACCUUCUAGUCCUUACUUCAUCAUUCGGAUAGUCCAGGACUCAUUCUUGUUUCGCAACCUCUCACUGGAGAUAACUAUGCCUCUUGGAGUAGAACGAUGUUGAUUGCUUUGUCUAUGAAGAAUAAACUAGGAUUCGUUGAUGGCUCAAUCGUCAAACCUGAAGGAACUCAGCACCAAGAGGAUGAUUGGCUAGGGUGACAAGCUUGAAGAUCUUUAUAUUCUUGAUAUAGAUACAUUGAAGUCUACUUCUACAGUUUUUGUAAAUAAUGUUUCAGCUCAUGUAUGACACAAUAGACUUGGUCAUCUUUCUUUCAAACGUUUAGAUGCUUUGAAAAAUCAUUUACAUUGUGAUGUUUCACAAUUGAAUAAAGCUCUUCCUUGU